AACAUCGCGCACCUGCGGGAACCUGCGGAAGGAUCAUUACAGAGUUGCAAAACUCCCUAAACCAUUGUGAACGUUACCUAAACCGUUGCUUCGGCGGGCGGCCCGGGUCCCUCCCGGCGCCCAUCGGCCCUCGCGGGCGCCCGCCGGAGGUAAACCAAACUAUUGCAUUGUAUGGCCUCUCUGAGUCUUCUGUACUGAAUAAGUCAAAACUUUCAACAACGGAUCUCAGAUCGGAAGAGC
rnacentral:misc_RNA from 1 species